ensembl:lncRNA
CUCAGCCUUGAGUUUCUCCUUGAGCUUCUGAAACUCAGUGCUCAGGAACAUGUGUUUCUUCCAGGAGAGAGGUGGGGAUGGCAGGCCAGGCUAGUUGGCCCCUUUUCCAGUCCCUGACCUGUCUAAGAGGGUAUCUCCAGGCAGGGUAGACGGUGCUGGGCUGGGGGAAAGUGGUUUGAGUGGACACCAAGAGCCUUUCAGGGUGUGUGUGUGUGCGUGUGUGUGUGUGUUUCCACAAAGAAGCAGCCAUCUGUGAAGGAGUGGGACCCCAUUUCUCAGUUCCUGUGAAAGACCUGUGUGAAACCCCAGCAAACUCCCAGGCCGAGCAGAAAGUGAGAGUGGAGGUCGACUGAGACCCACCCAUUGAGGGUAUCUUCCAGAUAUCAAGUUGACCUUCCAUCACUGAAGAUGGUGCACGGCAGCCAGCAGGCACGAUUAACAAGCCUGGCAUACUGGACCACCAGGACAGAAAGGGGCAUCCCUGGGAUGCCUCUCUAGGAGCCAGCAAGGUGCGGGGAAGACAGUAAAAUUCACUGAAUUGGAGGAGCCGAGGCCAUUUCUCUGGAGAGGAGUAGGCAGGCGGUAGAUGGGGGCUAUCUAUUAUCAGGCUCAGGUACGUGUAUCCUUGUUCAGGAAACGUGAUGCAUGGGCUUCUGGAUUUACAGUGAGAGAGAGGUAGGUCUCUAAAUCACUUUACAGACCCUGAAGCCAUGACUGGAGGCUGCUCAGGCUGGAAUACAUUACAGGGUGGAAGCAUCUCCUGGGAUGCAUGCAAAUUGUGGCACCACGGCCACUCCAGGGGCACAGAAAUACUCAAGGGGAAGAAGGAGGAAGGAAGCUGUGCGACAGGAUUGUGAGUGUGAAGGGAGAGCCCACACAAGGGGGAAACAGGCAGCCUGUGGUGAGCAUAGCACUCCCAUGGGAGGCUCAGGUUCUUGCCCUGCCCUGGCACAUCUUAGCUAUGGAAAUUUGGCCAAGGCCCCCUACAAUGUAGGAGAAAGGGUUUUGCAGCCAGAUAGGGCUGGGUUUGAGUCUUGGCUUUACCAAUUCUUAGCUGGAUAACCUUGGCAAUUUAUCCUCAUGCCCAAGCCUCAGCUUCAUUAUCUAGAACAUGGGAAUAAUAAUCUCUGUGGAUGUCACUAUUUGUUGUCCAUCCAAAAGUGAAUGUCUCCUUUCUCCUCAGAUUUCGUUUAGAUGGAACAUGCUCAGGGAAAGAGGGCCCUCCCACAACUUCAGUGGAUAAACUAGGAUUGGUCUAAUCCAAGCAAGGUCAUGCCAUUUUCUUUUUGUUAUUGAUUGGUUUUGGGGUGGGCAUGUGACCCAGUUUUAACCAGUACGAUACAAAGGGAAGACAACUGGGGGACUUCUGGGAAGGAUUUUUCUUCCUCUUAUGCCAAGAAGUCCUUUCCAUCCUCCUGCCACGAAGGAGGUUGGGUAAGGAUGUGAUGCUUGGAGCUGUGGCAGCCAUCCUGCAACCAUAAGGUGAUAAGCCUAAGAAAGAGAAGCUAGCACACCAAGGAUGGUGGAGCAGAAAGAUAAAACGAGACUGGGUCCUUGAUGACUUUGCUGAGCUGUUGCAUCAACCCUGGGAUUCCCUGUCCCCCCAGCCUUCUUAUCUGAGAUAGUGAAGAAUCUUCAUUCCCGGAGACAUUAGCAGCUACACUGUUACCUGCAGCUGAAACACUCCUUUCUGUAACGCAGCAAGCUCACGGGGUGUUGUGAGGAUGAAAUAAGAUAAUAAUGUUGGGGAAAAUUCCAAGCCUGGGACUUGGCUCAGAGUAGGUGUUCAAUACAUGCUGGUUUCCUCCCUCUUCUCUAUUUUCAUGUCUUAAUUUUAGAUUUUUUCCUGCUCUACCAACCUCAAAGGAUUGUGGUAAGAAACAAAUGAGAUAAUUGUUAUUUAUUGCCACAAUAAUGCUGUCCUAAAGAAUAACCACAGAACCUCAGUGGCAUAUCACAAUAAACAUUUCUCUAGCUCACGAAUUUGUGACUUUCUGAUGCAGGUGGGCUCCCUCACGGGGCUGGUGGUCGGCUGGCUGUCAGCUGAGAGUGAUUAAGAACUGCCUUUCAGAAAAUCUGCAAAAUCACACAGCCAGGGCACGUGCAAAAGAAGAUAUUGUACCUGAAACGACCUUGGAACUAAAGAUCCUCCUCCCCACGGAACCCAAGGACGGAGACGUGACCGGAACCUGAAGGUCGGACUCAGCAGAAGCAAGGGGUUCCUCAUUCUGAAGAUCCUUCCCCACCCUGUCAUAAAUGUUGAAAACUUCGCCAUAAAUGCUUGAAGCCCACCACCCAAAACCCGUUCCAUCUGCGUUUCCAUGUGCCAGCCCUAAGCUCUUAAAUUUUGCCCCAAAUCCUGAAUGGAGAAGACAGAUCUCAGGGCACACACCCCCUUUCUCCUUGCAGAUGGAUCUUGCAGAAUAAAAGCCGAUUUCUCCUGCAAAGGCUGAUGCCUUAUUUAUUGGCUUAUUUAUGCACAACGGGCAGAGAACCCCAAUUUUGUGCAGUAACAGGGUUGGGGAGUUUGAGGGGUUGACAGCUAAUUAGAACAUAAUUCUAAUGUUCUAGAAUUGAUUGUGGCGAUGGGUACACAACUUUGUAAAUAUACUGAAAGCCAUUGACAUAUGCAGCUUAAAUGGGUGAAUUGUAUGGUAUGUAAACUCUAUCUCAACAGAACUGUUAAAAAGGAAAAAGAAAAAAAGGCAGGAUGAUCCUGGAUCAAGGAGAGGAGAGGUGAAGCACUGGGUGGUGGUGACAUCCCCCAUUUCCCACAAAGCCGCCAGGACACCACCAGGCAAGGCCAUUAAAAAACCAACGUGUUGAAGAUUUUCUCUGCUGUCCUUGGAAAUAAUCUCUGAUUUAUAAUGAUUCUGUGGGGAAAACAAGAUUCUGUUUAUAGCAAUUCGCCAGGUGGAGAGCAGGCCCCCGCGUCCUGGAGAGGCGCCGGGAGCUCAGCCCUGCGGGGAGGUGCGGGCUUCUGACAGGCACCGUGGGGACCCCGCCCCAGCCCGCGGAGGGGAGGAACAAGGCUUCCUCCGCCCUCUUGGGAACCCUGGCUGGAUCUGAAAAUUAAACUGACAAAGACAGAUUAAUAGGAGAAAAGCCCAUAAAUGUAGUUGACAUAAUUUUUAUCUGAC